GACGAACGCUGGCGGCGUGCUUAACACGUGCAAGUCGAACGGAAAGGCCCCUUUGGGGGUACUCGAGUGGCGAACGGGUGCGUAACACGUGAGUAACCUGCCCUUGACUUCGGGAUAACUUCAGGAAACUGGGGCUAAUACCGGAUAGGAAUCCUUGCUGCAUGGUGGGGGUUGGAAAGCUUCGGCGGUUUUGGAUGGACUCGCGGCGUAUCAGCUUGUUGGUGGGGUAGUGGCUUACCAAGGCUUUGACGGGUAGCCGGCCUGAGAGGGCGACCGGCCACAUUGGGACCGAGAGACGGCCCAGACUGCUACGGGAGGCAGCAGGGCGGAAGAUUGCACAAUGGGCGGAAGCCUGAUGCAGAAACGCCGCGGGCGGGAGGACGGCCUUCGGGUUGUAAACCGCCUUCAGCAGGGGCGAAGCUUGUGGUGACGGUACCUGCAGAAGAAGCACCGGCUAACUACGUG
rnacentral:rRNA from 1 species